GGGAACGGGUGGGGACACCGUAAGGGUGGAAGUCCCGCUGGAGGACUAUAGCUGUCCUGGCCACAGCUUCCCAAGGAAUCCCCAUCGGGCAAGACGGGGUUGCCUGGAAACUCUGGUGUGUUUAACCUGACCACCUGCCAUCGUGUGACAUAUGGAAGGGCCGGUCCGCAGUACGAAGGACCUACCGGAGUCAUGUCCCCCAGGUCUGCACGCUGCAUGCCCUGUGAGGUCUGAAUCCAAAAUCAGGCAGCUGCCCAGAGGAAGGAAAAGCACCAAACCAGUGAAACAUGAAAUGCUAUCAAUUCAACAACAAAUUUAAGAACAUGUAACACUGUGUACAGGGGAAAAAAAAAAAAAAAUGCAGCAAAGCACAAAUGUUUAGUUUCAAAACAACCAGAACCAUCUCUCCAGUCAUGUUCCUGUGUCUUCUCUGUGGUCCAAUUAAUCAAAUCAGAAUGGAUCUCAAACUGGUAGCCACUUGCCAAGCCUGCAAAAAAAAAAAAAAAGUCUGAUUCUGAUUAUUAAAUAAACAACUCCCAAAAAUGGAAGCAUUAUGGAAAAAGACAAACGUUUUCUUCUCCUAAAUCUCAGUGUUUUGAACUUCUCCCACGAGUUGGUGGUAGAGAAAGACUAAACUAGCUAGAAAUUGAGGAGCUAUCAUUUUAUUCCAGACACCAAAUAUCAGAAUGUCUAAAUUGCCUCUUGAAAAUGUAGGGAGUGCUGUUUGCUUUGUCUUCCAUUUUAAAACAAAGAAUUCUGACACAUUCUUGGAUGGUAGAGGUUUUCUUUGUAUAUUUCUGUACAGAGUUUCCUAAGAUGUGUUUCCCCUUAAAUGUGACUGCUCUGAUGGCCAAUAUUAAUUAAUUCAGUUUUGGUUUCAUAGUCUUUUGCGUACAUCUUUUGUGCCACAGUUCAGAAGGUUGGUUUGUACAGCCUCAAGGCAACCUGGAAUUAGGAUAAGAACAAGCUGUUUUAGAAAGCAGGGUCAGAACCCUGAGUGCCACCUACUGCCUGUGGGAGAAUGUCCCAGUCACUUGCUGAUCUCUAGAUCCACCUUCCAUAAAGCAACAGUGUUGAGCGUAUUUAUGAGAGAGUAUGAAAUUAAAAGAUCUGCAGGUAGUUCUCAGCCAGGCUCUUUUUGGGGACCGUGUGGAUGGGUGCAGGUGUCUGCCACACACGGAGUGGAGGAGGACUCUCGUUUUCCCAUAAAUUGAACGGGGUGUGUUAAGAUGAACAUACCUCAGGCACAACUGUCAAAGACUUAAGUGACGUUUAGGAAUAAAAUCAGCACAGGGACAAAAAAAAAGGUAUGCAGGAAAGGCAUUGUCUCCGGAACCAAGUGAAACCAAAUGACACUUGGCACCUGUGUCCUUGUCCUCGGGAAACACUGGCAUCCUGCCAGAGGCUGCCUGGACUCAAAGGUGAGCUAUGCAGGAAAGUAUAGGAAUGGCAGCUCCUCAGAAACCCUGUGCUGUCCGAGACUCCUUCACUGAACAGCCUGGAAUCCUUGCCCUGAAGCAUUUUGAAAAGAAGAAGAAAGAAACACAAGGCCCUGACAAAUGUCUCCAGUCAUUCGUUUUAUCCUAACUGUCGUCACAACACUGUCACCAUCAGUCAUUAACAGAUACUGUCGUGCUGCUCUGGUCUUGGGGGUGCUCAGUAUUUCUUUAAUAAACAUUUCCCUUGGUGUUUGCACAACCACUUGAUGCAGGUGCCAUUCUCACCCGCACUUUGCACGCGGAAGAGUGAUGUUAGAGGGUCAUCAUGUAGCUCACCUACGGCCACAGGGUUAGCGAGUUGUAAUGCUGAGAACUUAAUCCCAGCAAUCUGGAAGGUUAGGUGAGAUUAAAGAGCAGAAACUCAAGAACAUUGAAGCAGUGAAUUUGACAGACAAGCUCAUUCAGAAUACAUGCAAUUCUUGUGGGCUUGGCUCACAGGCUCAGAAUUUUUACUGUUGCAAGGGAUGGUACAGGACUUUGAGUUCCACCUUUCCGUCGAUAGUAGAGGGAGUAAAGACUCUUUUCCACAUAUCCAUGACAGAUGAUGUCUAUUCUCUGCUCCCACAGUCCCAGUAAAAGAAAUCCAAGAUGUGUGUAUGCAGAUCUUUGCACUGUGGGACGACUACUCAUUACAAUUUCUUCCUUCAAUUAAGCAGAAAUGGGUUGAGCCAUGAAAUUACACCAAAGACCUUAGUUAGUGUAUCUGGAGACCCAGGGAAGUCUGGGUCCUCUUCCCUGUGAUAAUGUCUGACAUAGAUGAAGACAAUACUUGCAUCCAUAAUGUGCUUGAUGGUUUCUCUGGAAGAGAAAGUAGAGCUCGGGUCCCAGGAGGGCUUACAGUCCUGGGCUCAACCCUCAUUUGACCCUAUGUUGGCCGUUGAUCUUUGAGCAAGUUCCUCAAGCCUCAGUCUCCUCAUCUACUUCCUGAUGAGUCCGGUACCCAGGCCACUGUGCUCAUGAGAACAAAUACCAAGUUUCCAGAUCGCAGAGUGCCAGGCACAGAAUAAAUACCUACUCCAUGUCGGCU